ACCCGAAAAUAGCACACCCCGGGAAACCGGGGGCCGCAAAGCCUCGCCGAAAAUUAACGGCGAGUCCGCUCAAAGGGCGGACACGGACCUAAAGUGGCUUGGGCGAAGGCAGUAGGGUACAGGGCACAGAGAAAAUAAUGUACCUGAUCCCUGUUCCCUACUGGCCAGUCCCGAGCACCAUGGUGGCUGGGUUGCCGAA
rnacentral:ncRNA from 1 species